rnacentral:rRNA from 1 species
AUUGAACGCUGGCGGCAUGCCUUACACAUGCAAGUCGAACGGUAACAGGUCUUCGGAUGCUGACGAGUGGCGAACGGGUGAGUAAUACAUCGGAACGUGCCCGAUCGUGGGGGAUAACGAAGCGAAAGCUUUGCUAAUACCGCAUAAGAUCUACGGAUGAAAGCAGGGGACCGCAAGGCCUUGCGCGAACGGAGCGGCCGAUGGCAGAUUAGGUAGUUGGUGGGAUAAAAGCUUACCAAGCCGGCGAUCUGUAGCUGGUCUGAGAGGACGACCAGCCACACUGGGACUGAGACACGGCCCAGACUCCUACGGGAGUCAGCAGUGGGGAAUUUUGGACAAUGGGCGAAAGCCUGAUCCAGCCAUGCCGCGUGCAGGAUGAAGGCCUUCGGGUUGUAAACUGCUUUUGUACGGAACGAAAAGACUCUUUCUAAUAAAGAGGGUCCAUGACGGUACCGUAAGAAUAAGCACCGGCUAACUACGUGCCAGCCGCCGCCGUAACAC